rnacentral:rRNA from 1 species
GAAUUUUGGACAAUGGGCGAAAGCCUGAUCCAGCCAUGCCGCGUGCAGGAUGAAGGCCUUCGGGUUGUAAACUGCUUUUGUACGGAACGAAAAGGUCUCUUCUAAUCAAGGGGGCUCAUGACGGUACCGUGAGAAUAAGCACCGGCUCACUACGUGCCAGCAGCCGCGGUAAUACGUAGGGUGCAAGCGUUAAUCGGAAUUACUGGGCGUAAAGCGUGCGCAGGCGGUGAUGUAAGACAGGUGUGAAAUCCCCGGGCUUAACCUGGGAACUGCAUCUGUGACUGCAUCGCUGGAGUGCGGCAGAGGGGGAUGGAAUUCCGCGUGUAGCAGUGAAAUGCGUAGAUAUGCGGAGGAACACCGAUGGCGAAGGCAAUCCCCUGGGCCUGCACUGACGCUCAUGCACGAAAGCGUGGGGAGCAAACAGG